CCUACGGGGGGCAGCAGUGAGGAAUAUUGGUCAAUGGGCGAGAGCCUGAACCAGCCAAGCCGCGUGAGGGAUGAAGGUACAGAGUAUCGUAAACCUCUUUUGUCAGGGAACAAAGGCGGGGACGUGUCCCCGGAUGAGUGUACCUGAAGAAAAAGCAUCGGCUAACUCCGUGCCAGCAGCCGCGGUAAUACGGAGGAUGCGAGCGUUAUCCGGAUUUAUUGGGUUUAAAGGGUGCGCAGGCGGUCUGUUAAGUCAGCGGUCAAAGCCCGGGGCUCAACCCCGGCCCGCCGUUGAAACUGGCAGUCUCGAGUUGGAGAGAAGUAUGCGGAAUGCGCGGUGUAGCGGUGAAAUGCAUAGAUAUCGCGCAGAACUCCGAUUGCGAAGGCAGCAUGCCGGCUCCACACUGACGCUGAGGCACGAAAGCGUGGGUAUCGAACAGGAUUAGAUACCCUUGUAGUC
rnacentral:rRNA from 1 species